CUAUCUUCUUCUUCUUCAUAUACAUGGCCAAUGAUCAUGACCUCCUCUUCUUCUUCUUCUUCAUCUCCCACAAUCAUGAACAUAGAGAACAUUCCUAGAUGCGACUGGGAUCUCUCUCUUUCCGCCGUUGUUUCCUCCGCAUCCACCGGAUCAGACGCUAUCGGAGCAAUCGAGUUCGACCCUACCGGAGAGAUCAUAGCUACGGGAGGAAUCGCAAGAAAGAUCAGAUCGUAUCGUUUAAGCUCUUUGUUAGAGUCACGUGACGAUCACGUAACAGCUUCAGAGAGCUAUAUUUGCACGCCGGCGAAGCUUAGUAGUCUCAAAUGGAGACCCGAUUUUUCCGGUCGGGUUAUCGGGUCAGGAGAUUACGACGGAGUUGUCACCGAGUACGACGUGGAGAAACAAGUGCCUGUUUCCGAGAGAGACGAGCAUGGAGGUAGAAGGAUUUGGAGCGUGGACUACACGCUUUACAAUGGCUCUCUUAUAGGCGCGUCAGGCUCCGACGACGGAACGGUUCAAAUGUGGGAUCCACGUAACGGAGGGACGUUAGAAGAAACGGUUAGGCCCGGUGGUGGAGCGGCGAUUUGUUCGGUAGAGUUCGAUCCGUUCGGUGGAUCUUCCAUAGCCGUUGGAUGUGCUGACCGGAAUGCCUACGUGUAUGACAUCAGAAGACUAGUGGACCCUUUGAUCGUAUUAGACGGCCAUACCAAAACGGUGACGUAUGCUCGAUUCAUGGAUUCUCACACGAUCGUUACCGGUUCGACCGACGGGAGCUUGAAGCAAUGGGAUAUAGAUAAUGGACGGCGCGUGGUUCGCACGUACCGAGGGCAUGUGAAUAGCCGGAACUUUGUUGGGUUGUCGGUUUGGAGACAUGGUGGUUUGGUCGUGUCCGGGUCAGAGAAUAACCAAGUGUUUGUGUACGAUAAGAGGUGGGAGGAACCGGUUUGGGUUUGUGGAUUGGGUCAUACGAACCGGUUUGGAUCUGACCGACGGUUUGUUAGUAGUGUGUGUUUGAGACAAGUGGAUGAAGAUUGGUGCACACUUGUGGCCGGAGGAUCCGAUGGGGCUUUAGAAAUUUUCUCGGGCAAACAAAGCUAAUCAGUAUUUAUAUUAUUUUUUUCUGCUCAUGAUUAAUACAAACUGUUUUUCAGUUGAUUUUAUACUGUCUAUAGUUAUUAAUUUUAAUAUGAUUGAAUGUUACUACAAUUCUUAAGAAGAAAUUGUAAGUGAUAUUGAGAACUUUUUCAAUCAUUGCAAUUCGAAUACACAUUUUGUAGGGAAUUGAAAAUUAAUUCUAAUAGUGUUUUAAUUAGCGCUAGAAAAUAAAUAAAUAAAAUGUAUCAAGGAGAGUGUAUAUAUUGACUUGUAAAAUGACAAGGAGAAGUCAAAUGUCCACUUGAAUGAGAAAUUCUAUUUCUAUAUAUCUUUUUAGUUUAUGGACCUUUUUUUUUUUUUACAUAGCUAAGCUAGAGCUUUAGACGACUAAAUUGAUUUUGAGUCUAAAAGAUAUGAUAUGUUUUGUAAUCAAUUGACCAUUUAAUCAUGUCAUGUUCUUUAGUUUUGUAAAAAGAGAAGAAAAACUUGUCAGACAAUACUUAUACAUAUACAUUCAUGUAGGUUAAGAGGGUUGUUUAAAAUUAUGUAACUAUAGUGGUUUGAUGCAAAAUAAAAUCUGGCCCAAACGGCAUAGUGGCCAACAAAACUUUGCCACAUGACAUGACUCCAGUAGCCCAGAAACUGGGCUGAUCCAAUCAGAGGUUGUCUUUAUAGCCCAUCUUUAGAUGAGUUUUACAUCUCUUGUCAACAAAUGUUACGACCAACAAAGUCUUUUUCUUCAGGCAAAUAUAAAAAGAAAUAACGUGGUUCAGAGAUUAAUUAUUUUAGAAAAACGUAAGAGUCAGGACAUAUAUUUGGAAGUUCAACAUGAAAAGCCAGCAAAACCCAUUUGGGUCACGACAUAUUGUAUAUGGAAAUGCAAAAUAUUCCCUCUCUCAAAUGAAUACCCUAUUUGUAUAUUCGAAAUGUAUUGUAUACUUCUAUUAUCAAUAAAAUCCAAAAUUAAGUUUUAUACGUAAAUAUGUGCAGCAAAUAGGAGGGAAGUGUUGACUCACCUACCAAGAUUAAUUACACAAAUAUCCUAACAAACAAACUAUAAUAUUGAUUAUAUUUAAAGAAAUUUUGUGCAUAGGGUUUUUAAAUAUACACAUUGCCAACUUUGGUAUACGGGAUAUCCAAUUUGUCCGAUCGCUUUUCAAAGAUUGGAUGAUUCUUUGCAUUCUUUAAUUCAAUUGUGUUCAUUUUCUUUCAUAAUCAUUGAUACGGGACAGACAAAGAUUGUUUUGUCAACGUUAAGUUUUGCCCUCUAGACCACUUUUACUCAUUUAUAUGAUUUGGUCAAAUUACAUCAUUUACACUUUUACAUACACAACAUCUUGAUAUUUUUACUUUAAUAUAUAUUCGGAACCAAACUACUUAAGUCAAUUUUUGACAUCAAUCUGUUUGACAUUGAUAGUGUCUUUGAGUGAGUUUUUGUAUAAAGAGAUGGAGACAAAGUGAUACCAACUUGGUUAAAUCAUAGAUAAUACUGUGAUUAAUCCUAACAUCUUAUCAUCGUAAUGAAGAUUUCCCUGUGAUCGCAAGUUUGUCAAUAUCUAUAUUUUAUUAGGCGUUAGUCUUUCUUCAUAGACUUAGAAAAAGAAGAGAACGUAAACAAAAGAUAUCUGAAAGCAAAACAAGCAAAGAUUCCUUCUUCUCUUUUUGUCUUUAAUUAUUUAAACCAAGUGACUUGGGUUUACAACUAAUUUUUGCUUACAUAUUCUACCAUACUUUUAUUAUAUAGCCUAUCUAAUAUACUUAAUUACACAUAUGCACAAAAUACAAAAUACACAUACAUACACGUGUAUACAUGAAAUUUCAUUUGAGUCCGCAUACGUAUAAAAUUAUGUGUCUUUUAUUAUAGGACGCAGCCCCAUUUGGCUAUUUCCUAAAAGUCUCAAGACCAUGGCUUUUAUGAUUUAAAACGUAAUUUUUGUGUUUGCGUUUAAUAUAAUGGUUUCUCUAUGACUCUAUCUAUGCAUAAUUAUCUAUAUAUGCUCAUAAUACUUCUCUCUGUCUGUCUUUGUCCCUCUCUCUAUCUCUCUAAUUCAUCAUUUACACAAGUUUCUCUUAAUUAAGACGACUUGAGAGAGAAAGAAAGAUACGUGGAAGAUGACCAAAUCUGGAGAGAGACCAAAACAGAGACAGAGGAAAGGGUUAUGGUCACCUGAAGAAGACCAGAAGCUCAAGAGUUUCAUCCUCUCUCGUGGCCAUGCUUGCUGGACCACUGUUCCCAUCCUAGCUGGUUUUUUUUUAAUCUCUAAAAUCUUAUAUUAGACUCUCUUUUUUUCUUAACCCUAUAUCCUAUAUUAGACUCUUAAUUCUCAUCAUUGUUGUUAAUCUUAUCCUUAACUAAGAGUAAUUGUUGUGCCAGGAUUGCAAAGGAAUGGGAAAAGCUGCAGAUUAAGGUGGAUUAAUUACCUAAGACCAGGACUAAAGAGGGGGUCGUUUAGUGAAGAAGAAGAAGAGACCAUCUUGACUUUACAUUCUUCCUUGGGUAACAAGUAAGAAACCCUAAUAAAAAAUACACCUUCUAUUUUUGUUGUCUACAAUCCAUUCAGGUCUAUGUGAAAAACCAUUCAUUAAGUAGAUUUUUCAUUUGAUUUUUAUGAUUUGGGUCUGAUUAGGUGGUCUCGGAUUGCAAAAUAUUUACCGGGAAGAACAGACAACGAGAUUAAGAACUAUUGGCAUUCCUAUCUGAAGAAGAGAUGGCUCAAAUCUCAACCACAACUCAAAAGCCAAAUAUCAGACCUCACAGAAUCUCCUUCUUCACUACUUUCUUGCGGGAAAAGAAAUCUGGAAACCGAAACCCUAGAUCACGUGAUCUCCUUCCAGAAAUUUUCAGAGAAUCCAACUUCAUCACCAUCCAAAGAAAGCAACAACAACAUGAUCAUGAACAACAGUAAUAACUUGCCUAAACUGUUCUUCUCUGAGUGGAUCAGUUCUUCAAAUCCACACAUCGAUUACUCCUCUGCUUUUACAGAUUCCAAGCACAUUAAUGAAACUCAAGAUCAAAUCAAUGAAGAGGAAGUGAUGAUGAUCAAUAACAACAACUACUCUUCACUUGAGGAUGUCAUGCUCCGUACAGAUUUUUUGCAGCCUGAUCAUGAAUAUGCAAAUUAUUAUUCUUCUGGAGAUUUCUUCAUCAACAGUGACCAAAAUUAUGUCUAAGAAGAGUGAAUAUGAUCGUAAGAGGAACAUAAGCUAGUUACUUGUGUUACAAGUUACAAAAAAAAUCUAGAUUCUUAAAUCAAACAUGAACAAAGAAAAAACUUAUUAUGUGGAAAGUCCAUUUGAAUUGGUUUUAAUCAUUUAUUUUUCACGACAAUCUGUAUAUACAGAUAGAAUAACAUUUGUAAAUUUUUUUUAUAUGAAAACAAUUAUUUGUAAGUUCAGUGUUGUUUAUAAUUGGUUCAUGUCUCUUUCUUUGUCUGUCUUCUUGUUCGUCCAUAGAGUUUACUAUUGUCGUAGACUUACUUAAACAACAUUUCAAAGUCAGUAUUUUAACGAGUAACGAUAAUUAAAUAGCUACUAGGAUGUUUCAUAUAUACACUCUUCUUCUUGAUCAUAUCAUGGUUGAAAUUAAAUAAUCAUCUGUCAUAAUCAAGCUUGCUUUGAAAAGAACAAGAAUAACGAGAAUAAUAAUCGUCACUGGUGUCCAUUUUAACGAAAUAUCCUGCAAAAUUUGUAAUAGAAUAAAGUAAAAGUUAAUUAACCAUAACCGAAGCCACAAAUUCUCAAUACAUUGAAUUCAAAGUGAAGCUUUAGUCCUAUUUUGAUGAACCAUAUGUUUGAUUUUUUUUUCAAUAUACCUGAAGACAUCGUGAGCUCCAAAUGGUUGAAACAAUCAUUGGAGGAUCUGAGGACGCCUUUUCUAAUGUUUCUUGCAAAACAAAAAUGUUACAAAUUCAAGUCUUAAAAAAAAAAAGGGGGAUAAAAGAAGUUCGCUAAUUUCAAGAACAAGUACCUAAAAUUUGUUGUCUUUGUAUUAUAUCAUUCAAAUGCUCAGUAACUACAUCGAGUUCUUGUUUCCGCAAUGCAUUCAGCUUCGAUAGAUUAGCUUGUGUUCUCGUGUCUAUAUAUUGUUUUCUUAUUCUCCCUAUGAUCUUACCAAACCUAAUGAAGCUAUAGGGCUUUGAGAUUUUCUGGAUCAGUGCUUUCUCGUCCAGCUUAUCAAGCUCCUUGUUCAGAUUCUGCAAGUAAUUAAACAAUAGCUUUCUUGGAUAUGAAGAAUCAGAUAGCGCGAUGUAACAUAUCUUCUUCUCCACCAGGAAGCUUCAAAAAUGAAAGAUUAAUAAACGAGUAAAUUGAUUAUUAAAAAGAAAAAAUGGAGAAAAUUAAUGCGAAAGGAUACUGGAAAGAAUGAUGAUCGAGCAAGAUGGUCAUCUUUGGAUGUAAUAAUGAGUCUUUGGAGACUUGUUUAAGAAGAAAUUCUGCUUGUUGCUUGUACAGCAAGAAACUAGUAUUGUCCUCUUGGUUGACAUAGGUUUGAUCUUGUGCAAGAGGCAAUCCAUCUUCAACCCUACCAACUAUUGUUAGUUUCACCAUUAUCGUUUCUUGAACUAUUCAGAAAAUUGAUGUCUUAUAUAAACAAGAAGAGGUUGAGAAGGAUUGAGGAUGAAGAUAUUCUAUUUGGGUAUGCAAAGAAACAUAGCGUGGUGGUGGAAAGUUAAUGAAUGAAAAACUUUGGGGGCGAAAAAAUUGAAAUGAAGAAGUAAAGAUUUGGGAUAUCUUGUUCAUAAAGACAACUUUAAGGAAAGGAGAAAGCAUAUUAGUUUUCCAUGUGUAAUUGAUAUUUUCAUUCUGUAAAGUGCAAAUGUUUAAUCCAAAUUUUGGUUUGUUCUUCAUUUCGAAUUGAAUCGGUUUUACGGAUCAAAAUAAUAAAUCAUCAAAACUAUAUUUUCUUGGAGUUAUUUUGGGACAAAUUGUAUUGCAUCAAAUCGAAUUACAAGGAAAAAUAAUUAGUGAAAUAAAUCAAACUUUCAACACCAUUAUUAGCAAACUUAGUUAUCACGGAUGGAAAUGCGAUUAAAAAGUGGGAAAAUUAGGGAAGUAUAGAGACUUUAAUUAAAUGGAAGAAGAUUGAAGAAGUAAUAUAGCUGAGUAGCUAUCGUUAUCUUCAUCGGAAGAAGGAGGAGACUCGAAGGAAACAAUUAAUAUCAACAAAGUAGCAAAGAUCAUUGUGAUCACAGCCAUAGAAUUGACUAGAAACGCUUCUAAUCCAUGCUUGUCAACGCCCUGAAUUUUCCAUGGAAGUAAGCUUUUUCAACAAACCCUAAGACCGAGUUUCCAACAGCAACAACAAAAAUAUAGAGGCCAAUAGAGACGUGCACUGGACGCAAGAGUCUUUGGUCGGCUGGUGAUGCUUUGAAGAAAAUUACAAAGCCAUUUUUCAGCUGCAAAGUUGAAAAAAUAACCUUUCAAAUUUCAAUCAACCACUUUCAUUCCACUUAGAAUGAUUCAACUAAUAGAAACAUUCAAAAUAUUAUUUCUUGUAAGGCUAAUCUGGCUACGGUCAUAAGGAAUAUACCUGGCUGAUAUAAAGACAAAAGACCACAACACCAAUCCAAGAAUGGAGGCUAUAGAAAUUUGGGAUGUUUAACUCGUUGUGGUACUUGACGGCAAAAAUGAUUCCCAAAAUUCUGAGUAUAAGAGCAAUUACGUGAAGACCAAAGUGGAUCUUUUUCUUCGUUUCUCUCUCAAAUGGAAGCGAUUUGUGACUUAUUAUUGCUGCUUUUUUAUUUCCAACAAAAUUGAAAUUGAUCAAAACGCAAACGCAAUCUAAGCUGCAUGAAGUGAAAAUAUAUAUAUCAUCUGUUUCAGUUCUCUUUUUGUUUUGUUAAGUAGCAAAGCAGUUAAGCAGGCAUCUAACUCUGCGUCACGUAGUUGUGCCAACUAGUCAACGACCGUAGAGUUGACGAAUCAUGCCACUUAAUGUGUUACAGGCUCAAAUAUCCAACCUAUAUGAGCCCAGCCCACUUAUUUAUAACAAAGACCUUAGGCCAAGAGUCCGUCCAAAUAACAAAAACGACAAACAAAAAUAGGCGUCAAGUAAAUUAAGAAUCUUUCAACAUUAUUGAGAGCCUCAUUUUUUAUUUAUAUUUUUUAUAUUAUUAAGAAGCACUACAUAAUUGAAAAAACGAAAAUCUUUUAACUAAUUUUUGCUUUUCUAAAAUAGGACAAAUGGAUUUUUAAGUUACAUAUUUUCUAAAUCUACUAUUUAGCUUCGAGUAUGGUGUAAUCGACAAACGUUUAUUUAUCCAACAAUUACCAUUUGUUGAAAUAAUUAUUUUAUUUUGAACACAAAAACAAAAACAAAGUCAAAAUUAGAGAUGAUAUAUUCUUUUUUUAAUUAAAUUUCUCUGAUAUGAUAUUUUAAAGUUUUCAAUUACUAAUACAACCAUCUUUUACGAUAUAAUACUCGAAAUUAAACACAAAAAUCAAAUAUUCUAUAUUAGACAAACUAUUUAGAUUGCACUUAGAAACACAAUUAUGUAAAUAGCACUUGGCAGAUUUACUCACAUUUGGCAAGCAGAAUACCAGUCAGGUUAGAACCGCAUGCUUCAAAAAAUUUGACAUCAAAAUAAUCAUCAAUGUUUUCAACUUCUGCAACUAAAAUGUAUUUGAAGUUUUAAACACCUUCUUCUGUAGUCUCAGUUAAAGAUCCAACUCCAUUGUUAAACACUAAGUUUUAAACGGUUAAAAGAAUAUUAGAAGUGAAAUUUUUUUAGAAACUAUGUUAUGAUAUAUUCAUGUGGAAGAGAGAGAGCACAUAUUUAUAUUGGUCAAGAAUUUGUAUUUGGUUAUUUAAUGAGAGAUUUCAUAAGUUGAUUUUGGAAGCCUUCAAUGUCAAGGCCUCUUAGAGUGGAUCCAUAGGUAUUUUGAUAAGAAUCAUCGGCACAUGUUAUGUCAGUAUAGAUGUGAGUACAGAGCACUAUGAGAGAACUAAUAUUUUCAAAUACUUGUUCAUCCGAAUACUUUAUACCUAAAUUAUUCCAAAUUAUUCGAAAAUACUUUAAAAAAUCUAAAUUUAUUUGAAUAAAAAAGAUAAGUAAAAAUUUAUCAUAUAAUAUUUGGGUUGGUUACUUUGUACCGAAAUCACUACAUUAAUCAUCUAACUAUAAGUUAGAGGGGUAUAAAAUUUAUUAGAUGGGCUUCAAAUAUAUUUUAACAUUCGUUCCGUUCUCGUGUAAUAUCCGAUCUAAACCGAUAUCCGAAAUACUUAAAAAAGAUUCAGACAAAUGGGUAAAAUAUUAUUUUAACCUACUAUAAUAAUCUUGUCUAAUCGGUAAAUGUUAUUUAUUCAACAAUCGCCAUUACUAUAAUCAAUUACUUAUGAUAGUAAUGACGAUUAAAAACUACUAUAUACUUAUUAUAGUAAAGUCAUUAUUCAUUUGGAUCAAUCAACAAAAUAAUAUGGAUGAUUAGAAAAUAAUUAGGAUUAUUUGGGAUUUUUUCUUUUGAGGAGUAAAUUUGACUAUUUGAGUAACUUUCUCUUAAAACAUUAAACAAAUCUUACAUUAAUAUACCAGCUUAACAAAAUUAUCAGAACGCCUAGCAACUUAGUGGCCCAAGAAAAAUAUGUCUUUUAGUGAACCAGAUUUCUUCAUAGAUAAAAAGUUUAGUCAUAAUCCCCAAAAAUUUAUGACCAAAUUAUGGAGAGAGUAGCUGAGUAGGGGAUAUAGAAAACUUGUUAGACAAAAAAUUAAGAGAUGAGAUGUCUAAAUAACAUUUAAAAUAAAAAUAAAAAUUUAGGAGACAAAGAAGAUGAGUGCAUUUAAGAGAGGGACAGCACAUGUUUUCAUGUGCUUCCAAUACUUACGCCAUUUUUUUAUCCGUAUGAUUCAGCUUCUAAUCAUUUUAUAAUCAGCUAUAAACAAUUUUAAUACUUUGUCAUUAUUAGAAAAUCAAAAUCAUUAAUUCUGAUGAGUUGGUUUGGUUUAAAGUAUUUCAGGAAAAUAGUUUAAGAUUGCGAAAAAAAUGAAGAGAAAUGUUGAAAUUAUCAAACCAAUAAUAUCUACUGAUACUAGAAAAUAGUGUAUAUAAAAUUCUGAAAUAAAUGUGUUAUCAUUAAUAUAACACACGCAACAUACAUAUAUUCUAUGGUGUGUACAGCUGUAUGUACAUAAACAUAAUGCAUGAUGGAUCAUGACGACUAUGUGGCAUGCAGAUAAAGGCAUUUCUGGUUUUUCUUGGGUCCACCAAUACUAUCAAUAAUGGUGUUAUGUGCGAUGUGUUUCAUUCAAGUACAAUAAAAACAAAAUAUAACUUAUUCCCUUCAAAUUUAAUUUCACAACUAGAAGGUAGAAGCCACUAAACCUCUUCACACUCACUCAUGUAACUAUUAAUUUAAAUUAAUUUGAAUAAACCCUACAAAAAAGAAAAAGCGUAACCUACUACUCUUUAACCUGACAAAAAAUGGAAGCUAAUUUUCCAUACAAAGUUCACUUUAUAUUAUACAAGUUUAAUUACAUACAAUCUUAGACUUUUUUGUAAGUCACACCAAGCAAUAAAAAGGGAGGUUGGGGUGUCUAUUAAAUUUAAGGACCCAUAAAAUCAACCACAUUUAUAUGCCUUACUGCAAUAAAAAGAAAAGCACUUUUCAAUUCAAUUAAUAAACUAUUAAAAGUUAAUUUCCUACUCAAUCAAACCCAUUAAAGCAGUAAGAAAAAAAAGGGUUUAGAUGGAAUCUACUAAUAACUCACUGAUUAAGUUUUAAUAUUAAAAAAGUUGUACGAAUCAACCUUUAUAUUGUACAAGGAAAGUGAUCAUCGCAGACUGUAAAUCAGGUUUUGUUGUUUUGUUUUAGUUUCCUCCUACAUUCUUUGGAAGAAACUAAUACAAAUCAGAGAAUUUGAGAAUCCAAAUUUUGGGUUGAAGAAGUUUUUGUUUCUGUAGAGAAAACAAUGUUUAAGUCAUGGAGGAACGACAAGAACAAGAUCAAGGCUGUGUUCAAACUUCAGUUUCAGGCAACUCAGGUUUUGUGUUUUGUCUCUUUAAAUCUCAAAACCCAAUUAUAUUUCUCUGUUAAAUUCAGACAAUGUGUUUACUAUAUAUUCUAGAUCUGUUAACUCUUAAGUUUCAAGAUUUGUUAUGAAUGUGAAUGUGAAAAUCUGGGGAUGAUCUCAGGUGCCGAAGCUGAAGAAGACUGCUUUGAUGAUCUCAUUGGUACCUGAUGAUGUUGGGAAGCCAACAUUUAAGCUUGAGAAAUCUGAGGUUAAAGAAGGGAUCUGUUCAUGGGAGAAUCCAAUUUAUGUGUCAGUGAAGCUAAUCAAAGAACCAAAAACUGGGAUUGUUCGUGAGAAGAUUUACCAUUUCGUUGUUGCAACAGUGAGUCAAAACAAACAAUCUCUGUGAAUAUGUCUUUUGAGUCAUUCUGGAAAAAGAAAGGCUCAAUUUUUUCCAAAAUCUGUUUCAGGGUUCUUCGAAAUCGGGUUUUCUAGGAGAAGCUUCCAUUGAUUUUGCAGAUUUUCUGACAGAAGCAGAUCCAUUAACUGUCUCCUUACCUCUCAAAUUUGCCAACUCUGGUGCUGUCUUAAAUGUAAUCUCUUUUCUUCUCCUUUUUGAAACCUGAGUUAGAAAUUGCAUCAAAUAUGUAAGAAAUGUAUGAGAUGUUAUAUAAACUGUUUGGUUGUUGGUGCAGGUGACAAUCCAUAAGAUACAAGGAGCGAGUGAUUUAAAGUAAGAGUAGUUUUUUUUUCUGUGGUUGUUGUCUCCUGUUUUCUUUGUAAGAGAUUUUUGACAUCAAAUUUUGUAGAUUUAUUGAGGAAAAUAAAGAUCAAACACUUAGCAAAGAAGACAGCUUCAAAAGUCUACAAAGCAAUGAUGACUUAGAAGGAUAUAACCAAGAUGUAAGGUUCCUUGUUCAGAGAGUUAAAUAAACUGUGUUGUCUAUUGAGAAAGAUCGUGAUAGUUAUCGAUCUUUUGGUAUGUAGGAAAGGAGCUUAGAUGUGAACACGGCUAAGAAUGCUGGCCUAGGAGGUUCCUUUGAUUCCAUUGGUGAAUCUGGAUGGAUAGAUGAUGGGAAUGCACGGUUACCUCAACGACAUAACUCAGUUCCUGCAACAAGAAACGGGCAUCGAAGAUCAAACACAGACUGGUCAGCUAGUUCGACAUCAGAUGAAAGUUACAUUGAGUCAAGAAAUAGUCCUGAGAACAGUUUCCAAAGAGGUUUCUCUAGUGUUACUGAAUCGAGUGACCCUAUUGAAAGGCUCAAGAUGGAAUUGGAAGCUUUGAGGAGGCAAUCGGAGUUAUCUGAGUUAGAAAAACAGUCUUUAAGGAAACAAGCCAUAAAGGAGAGUAAACGGAUACAGGAACUGUCUAAGGAAGUUAGUUGUCUCAAGGGUGAACGUGAUGGAGCUAUGGAAGAGUGUGAGAAGCUCAGGUUGCAGAAUAGUAGAGAUGAGGCUGAUGCUGAAAGCAGAUUGAGAUGCAUCAGCGAAGAUUCGAGUAAUAUGAUUGAGGAGAUUAGAGAUGAACUGAGUUGUGAGAAGGAUUUGACGAGUAACCUUAAGUUGCAGUUGCAGAGGACACAAGAGUCAAACUCUAAUUUGAUUCUUGCUGUGAGGGAUCUCAAUGAGAUGUUGGAGCAGAAGAACAAUGAGAUAUCUUCUCUGAAUAGCUUAUUAGAGGAGGCUAAGAAGCUUGAAGAGCAUAAAGGAAUGGAUUCUGGAAACAAUGAGAUAGAUACGCUAAAGCAACAGAUCGAAGAUUUAGAUUGGGAGUUAGACUCUUACAAGAAAAAGAACGAAGAACAAGAGAUACUAUUAGAUGAGCUUACUCAGGAAUAUGAGUCCUUGAAAGAGGAAAAUUACAAAAACGUUUCCUCAAAAUUAGAGCAGCAAGAAUGCUCAAAUGCAGAAGACGAAUACUUGGAUUCCAAGGAUAUUAUAGACGAAUUGAAAUCUCAGAUAGAGAUAUUGGAAGGCAAACUGAAGCAGCAAUCGUUGGAGUAUUCUGAGUGCUUGAUUACAGUUAAUGAACUUGAGAGUCAGGUGAAAGAGUUAAAGAAAGAACUGGAGGAUCAGGCACAGGCUUAUGAUGAAGAUAUCGACACAAUGAUGCGGGAAAAAACUGAACAAGAGCAAAGAGCCAUCAAAGCAGAGGAGAACCUGAGGAAAACAAGAUGGAAUAACGCUAUAACUGCAGAGCGGCUUCAAGAGAAAUGCAAGAGGCUUUCUCUAGAAAUGGAAUCGAAGCUGAGCGAGCAUGAGAAUCUGACGAAAAAAACAUUGGCUGAAGCCAACAACCUUCGUCUGCAAAACAAAACUCUUGAGGAAAUGCAAGAGAAAACACAUACCGAGAUUACACAAGAGAAAGAACAAAGGAAGCACGUGGAAGAGAAGAACAAAGCUUUGUCAAUGAAAGUCCAGAUGCUUGAAAGUGAGGUCCUGAAGCUCACAAAGCUGAGAGAUGAGUCGAGUGCAGCAGCUACUGAAACCGAGAAGAUAAUACAAGAGUGGAGGAAAGAAAGAGAUGAAUUUGAGAGAAAACUUUCUUUGGCUAAAGAAGUAGCCAAGACAGCGCAGAAAGAGUUAACUCUCACUAAGUCGUCAAAUGAUGAUAAAGAGACAAGGCUCAGGAAUUUGAAGACAGAAGUAGAAGGUCUAAGCCUACAGUACAGUGAAUUACAAAACAGCUUCGUUCAAGAAAAAAUGGAGAAUGAUGAACUGAGAAAACAAGUAUCAAACCUGAAAGUCGAUAUUCGGAGAAAAGAAGAAGAAAUGACUAAAAUCCUAGAUGCAAGGUAUGUGGACAAUAAACUAACUAAACUGGAAUGUUAUUUGCGUUAUGAAUAUUUGACUUAAUUAUGAUCUAACACGGAAAGUAAACAGGAUGGAAGCAAGGUCACAAGAAAACGGACACAAAGAGGAGAAUCUAUCAAAGCUAUCAGACGAAUUGGCGUAUUGUAAGAACAAAAACAGUUCAAUGGAGAGAGAGUUGAAAGAAAUGGAAGAGAGAUAUUCAGAGAUAAGCCUGAGAUUUGCAGAGGUAGAAGGAGAAAGACAACAACUUGUGAUGGCUGUCAGAAACCUCAAGAACGGUAAGAAGUUCUAGUAUUUGUAUGUCGCUGCGAAUACAGGUGUUGUCAGAUCAUAGUAGAAAUCACUAUAUAACUUGUACUGUUAAUAGAAUUCGUUUCUCUCAUAAAACAUUAUUUUAAACUUAUCAAGAAAUCAAUAUUUUCCACUGAAAUAAGUAACGCUUACAUAAGAUUUUGAGAUGCCCACUUCCAAAAUCUGAUCAUAUCCACUGAUUGGUUUUUGGUUAGUUUCCAAUUGCUACGCCGUGUUUGUUUCUUUACUUCCAUACAAGUUUUGUUUGGCCAGUUCCAUUCGCUGUGUAAGAUAGAGACUGGAAUGAAAAAAAAAAGAUGUUAAAGAAAUCAACGGUAUGAACAAAUCUCACUUCUAUAGGGAUCAUAUAUAAUGAAUACCUGUUUUGCUCGCUUAUCAAUUGGUGUGCAUGACUUAAGAGGCGAGUAAAAUCUCUCGUUUUUUGGUGAGGCUGAAGAAUUCUUUGACCGCUUCUGCCUCUUCUCUUCUUGAAGUUUGUUGCCUCCUUUAUACUUGAAAAACUCGAGUAUGGAUGGACUCUUUCUCUUGGUAUUAGCUUUCUUUAUGUUCCCUGGAGUCUCCAAACUAGGUGGAGAAGCAUAAGAAGGAAGAGAUUGUUGUUGUUUCCUUGCUCUGCUUCUUUCUCGAACUCUGUUAAGGAAAUCAACCGUCCAAGGAGAACUUUGUACUUGAUUUGAAGAACGGAUUGCGUUUGAUAGUGGAGAUCCACCAAAAUGUGAUAUUUCUUCUCUAAAUGGAAGCUCUGUUGUUGGAACUGCAGAUCUUCGUGUUAAGACCUCCUCCAAAAGGGUCCUUUGGCGUUUUGCUGGAUAGUUAUCAGCAUAGCCACGCAAAGAAGUGUUGUUAUCAUAUUUUGAAUCUUUCUCAGUGGCGUAUCUUUCAGAACUCGAGUCGAUGUCAGCCGCCUUUGGGAAGUUAGGCUGGAGAGAUCCAAAGAAAGAUAACUUCCUUGAAGAUUUUGAUUUUCUUGGAAGUUCCUCUUCAUUAACAUCAGAAACUAUUCGAGCAAACCUAUUAUAACCAGGAGAAGGCGGGAAGUCUUCCUCGAGAUACUUAUCAGCUCUGUCAAUUACUUCACCUUUGUAGUCUGCGAUGAAAUUCUCCGAGUUCCUAUUGUCAUGCAAGUUAAAAUCUCUCAUCACCGGAAAUUUACAUCCUCUGUUCUGGCUCAUGAAUUUGUCUUUAACUGGGAAACUCCAAUCUUCUAAUUCAGGAAUUCCAGGAAGACUGUCCUCCACUGAAAAAUCAGGCUGAUCUUUCUCCCAAAAUGUGUCCUUUGAUGAUGAACCAGGUCCUGACUUCUUGUCAAAUCUCUCAGGAUCUUUAGACGGCCAAGAGUCAUUGGGAUGACUGAUCCCAGAAGGUUUGAAAGGUGCAUCUGAGAAUUCAGUGACAGGGUCAAAAUGAAAGAUCUCAUGAUCUUUCGAUGACCAAGAAUCAUCAAGUUGGAAAUCCCCAGAAGACUUGAGCUGUGUAUCAGCAAAUUCUAUCGAGGGAGAAAAAUGCACCAAGUCGUCCAUAUCUAUCUCAUCUUUCUCAGCAAUGUACUGUUUCUUUUUUGAGCCAGAAUGGACACUGACAUGGUGUGUGUCUGAGUCAGGUCCAGAAGAUACCGAAGAAGAGCUGUCUGUCAUUACAGAUCUGGAGUCCUCCCUUGCUCCGUAUCUGCAUACUGAACUGAAUAGAUCAACACUCUCUUCAGGUACAUGAUACUUUUGCGUCCUUUCAACCUUGCUUUUAUGUGGGAGCUUCAUGAAUUCGAGAAGUGACCCAGAAGAUGACAGAAUUACUUGAGCUGUGAGUGGAUUCACGGAAGGAAACUUGGUGAGAAAUGAUUCUGCUAGAGAUUCUGACUCGGGCAUUUUGACAUGGAGUUUGGACAACUUAACAGAAGAUUUGAUACACUUCAAUAUAAUUUCAUCCGUGAGAUUAGCUGACGAUGAGCAAAACAUCUGUAAACUGAUUCCUAGGCUACCAGCUGCUGCAUACAGUUCAUCAGAGGAGUCCAUUACGGCAGCCAGGAAGGCGGGUUCCCCCUCAAAAACCUGUACGAAAAAUAACAAUCGUUCUUUAAGUUCUCUGGACUCAGUCUACAGUUUAGAAGAAAAUGUUGCAGAGACUUUAGUAUAUGAGUGAGUAUUAAACAUCUAGUAAGUUUGUAAUCAUCAAAUUAGCAAAAAUAAUAGAAGAUGAUUCUUAAAGUGAAAGGUCCACAUAUAUACUGCAACGUUCCCACAAAAGAACGGCAAAAAGCAAAGUUUGGUGGAAUUUACCAUAAUGCAAGUGCUGAAACUGAAACUCAAUGACGUCAAAACAUUAGUUGCGAUAUCUCCAAUCCAUGAAAGUGAACUUGAGGAAGUACCAAUAGUUGCAGCCGACUUCUUACUAACAGUUUCACUAUCAUACCAGAGUAGGCAAACUGCAGGACUUAACAUCAGGUCCACAGGUAGAUCUGAAUCGCGCUCCACAACUUGCACUCCUUCUUUUUCCAUUGCUAACACCUUCUGGUAUGUACUUCUUCUGGAUAUGAUCAUCUCCUUAUCGACAGUUUUUGUGUUCACAACAAUCACAGAUCUUUGGUCAGAGAGACCCUGUUCAAUUAUCCCACGUUUUCUUUCAGAUUCUUGAGGCAUGGAGAUAAAUUCAGAUUCAUUUGUGGUUUCGGAAGAUCCUGCAUAACACACUUUUUCAAGUGGAACAAAGUUCAACACUUCUUCCAACCACCCAGUUUUCGUCUCAACUUCGUCUCCCUACAAAAGAGAUAAUAGUGUACAUAGGUUCUCGUAUCUGCAUAUUCUGGAACAUAUUCAAACAAAGCGUUCAAAAUAUGCAGUUAUGGAAUAAACGUGAAUACCACUGAUGUGACAACACAAUUUUAGGUUAAAGUACAUACUAAUGUUAAACUUGCAUAAUUUUCAGUGUUGCAAAACCAAUCAAGAUCAUAUGCUCAUGAAAGUACUAUUUGUGAUACAGAUUGAUCUACUGCUCUGAAUUUGAACCCUUCACACAGACUCUUCCAUCGUAAUAUACAAUCUACCAAUAUAACUUGUAAGAAAAGGUUGAAUGUUUCUCACCUUUAUCAUUUUGAGACUAUAAGGUACUGUAACACCUGCACAGAGUUGCCCGCAUGCACUGGGCAUAUCCAGCUCCACUUUUAUGAAAUGAAAGGAAGGAAAGGAAUCCAACUUUGAAGGAAAAGAAUAUCUGGGCGAGGCAUUUGGACCUCCAUAUUCUACAAUGACGCUGAAAUUCUCCACAGGAAAAGAUGGAGAAAUUUGCCUUAGAUGAAAAAGAAAGGACUAGUUAGCUUAACUACUCCCAAAAGACAAUUUCACUAAAAGAUAUUGAACAAAGAAUCGAUAAAGCUAUGUUUUAGCAUGCAAAGAACAAUAAUGCAGCAAUUUCACGAGCAGAGAAGUAACAACAUUUUGUGGUAUCUCUUACAAUCACCAUGCUAAAAGACUGAAAAUGCUUUUCAGGCCGCAAUAUAUCAAUUCUUUGGUUCCCUUUCUAGUUCCCAAAAAAUUCAACUGUGAAAAGCUAUGAUCAUUGAUAAUGAGGAUAUGGCUAUAGGAAGAAAUAAUACUCACUCGUAAGAGAUAAUUAGACAGUCUGAAAUCGGCAGGAAACCAAGUUCUAUGGCUUCAUGAACAUUUGGUCGAUUUCCACUUGGGGAGGGACUGUUGAGGUCAUUGUAAGAUAACCCCAUGGACAUCAGUAGCCUCUUCAGCGAGGACCAAAACACUUUCUCAGCCAAAAGUAAUGCUUUGGAGUUCCCCCGGGCAAAUUCUGACUGUAAAAUCCCCUGGAUAACAGCUAGUGAUGGAUGUGAUCUUGUGAUGUCUGUCUCAUCUGAUUUGUGUUCUGUUUCAACUGCUGAGUAGAGGGUGUGCAAUCCUAUCUUCAUGGGAUUUGAGCUUCGACAUACCUUGUUAAGAUAGAUAUAUGCCACAUGGAUACCGAAGAAACACAUAUACCAUGUCAUCUGUUUAAUUGCUAAUAGUAAUGCAAACGUGAAAGUCUUAUCAUCCGCCAACUGUGUUUUGUGGACAUUUGCCUUUCUUAUGCAGUCAAUAAGCUUUCCUUUAGAUAUGCUGAGUAACUUAAGUUUAUCUUCUGAUAAAUUCUCUGAUUCAUCCUUCACAAGAGUUAAAUAGCUCUUCACAAAUUCCCCAACAAGAGCCUGAAUAUUUUCUGAAGGGCGCACACUGUGAAGUAUCAUUUCCUCUGUCUUCGGGUUUGGGUGCAUACCACCAGAUCUACAUGAAGCCUUCGAGUCAAUAGACAUACAUUUAUGGUUGGUAGUCUUAGCAGCUUCGACUCUAGACUCGAGAUUAUCUUCAAUCACAGCCUUCUUCGGAUCCAUGAAAAAGGUUAAGUCAUCAAAAGCAGACAUUGAUUUGAACAACAGCGUAGCCUUCUUAGCAUUAUCAUCCACUGCACAAUCCCUUGCUCCUGUUUUUUGGAAAGGGUUUUCCAAUAACCCAUGCGAAGUAUUAACAGGAGCAUGCUCAUCAAGGUUAGAUAUACCAUAGAAAGGUUCAGUGCAUUUCUCUACAAGUGGCUCGCAGAAAGCAUCUUCAGAGAAAAUGAAAUCAUAAACCCAUUUGUCUCCUUCUGAAGCUUCCCAGUUAUAAUCAAUGUUGAAUGUAACUAUUUCUUCAAACGGAUAAUCACAAUGGUUGUGGUUUCUUUCCUCAAGAAGGUUCCACGGCAAGUAUAUGUCAUUUGAGGCAGACAAGGAUUGAGGCUUGAUCUUUGACAAAACAUCCUCAUAAAUGAGCUCCAGAGAUCUUGUCAUCUCAUAAUCAUGUAAAAUAGGAGUAGGCAAAGACUUGAAGGCAUCAUCUGUGAAGGCAAGUUCGGAACUGACAACUAAUUCAUCGAAAUCCUUGAAGUUCAUCUCUUUACUGAACAUACCGUAACAGAUUUCUGGUUCAAUGGCUUUUUGAAGACAAAGGAAGAUAUCAAAAACAUCAGAGAUAUCCACAUCCAGGAUCUGGAAUUCCUCAUAAGUUACUGGUACAGCCACCUUUCCCUGAAAUUCCUCAGCAUUUGAUAUUUCCAGGAUAGUCACUAUAUCCAUUUCAGAAAAUUCAUCCUCUGGUACCACAUCAGAUUGGCCACUCUUGUUCAAAUAGCAAUCCGUAGAGAGUACAUCCAAUAGAUCAUAAUCCUUUGAGCCUAUAAGCUCCUUAGAAUUGAUAAUGAGAGAACUCCCUGCAUUAGUGUCUUGGGGUUCAAUCGUCUCAAGAACAGUAAAUACUUUAUCAAGCACAGAUAAGCUUGAUAGUUCGCUCAAGUUUACUUCAUCCACUUCUAGAAGGGGAAAUCUGGCAUCUUUGAACCAUGGUUGAAUCUUGCGGAAGCAUUCAUUUUCUGCUACAGAAGUGUUGUUCUCUGUAAAGUAAUCAGAAGGAAUGUAAUCAACAGAAUAAAUCUGCUCUUGAAUGUCCUUUGAGUUCUGCAGGAUAAUAUCUGACCCCUCAUAUUUAACCUGCAAUAAGAAGACUAGCUAAAAUCAGAUGAUGCCAAGAACAGGAACCAGCUCUACCACUCUACAGCAAAAGCAAAAACUACUGUUGUGUGUGCCAACUAAAAUCAACUCAGGGAUUUACCGGGUCAUUUUUGAUCUCUAGAACUUCAGAGAAACAUUGGAGAUGAUCCUCACUCGUGCAUAAGAGCUUGUUCUCCUGUAUAUCAAAAGAUGCUUUAUCUCGCAAUGAAAAAGAAAAAGCUGAACUAGUUCAAUUAGUACAAUGCUUACACAGCUUGAGCAAUACCAUCUCAAAAUCCAACUCUGGAGUCUCCAACUCAAUAAUUUUAGGUGUAGCUUUAUCCGCAAUGGCAUCUCCGUCAUCCUUCUGCAAAUAGAUCAUAACUUCGGUUUUCAAACUCCGGUAAGAUUCGCUUAAGCUACCAAAAUUUCCAACCCAAGUAUGAAUAUAAGAUCUAAGCAACAAUCAGAAAUGGAAACUGAGAAAACACACCACAAAUUUCGAAAAAUCUACAACCAAUCUCACUAUAAGAAACAAAGGACCGUUGACAGAAACAGUCAGCGAGACUCAGGAAAUUCGAAAUUUCACCUCCAGGAACUGAUAAUAUCUAGAUCGAAGGAACUUUACCUCGUCUGAGUAAUAAACUCCGAGCGAAGAGUCGUCGAUUUCAAAAACUCGAUAGUCCACACUGACGCGGUCGGGAACCACGUCGGAAAGGAACUUCGACAAAGCAGCUUCAAUAGGCAAAUUUCCGAUAGGGAUACUAACAUUUUCGAUCGAGCCAAAUCGGAGACGGUCUUCUUCUCCGUUGUAGACGAUGGGUGCCGGGAAAUUAUCAGGAGCCGGAAGAUUGAGGAAGCCUAGGGUUUCAAAUACGUGAGAAGGUGGAGUAGAGAAGUAAUCGAUGUUGAGAAAUCGAGUUCGCAUCGUAAUUUUCUAGAUCCGUCUUGGGAGCUCAGACUGUAUCAGUGAUGAUGAUGAUGAUGAAGAAGAGAACGAAUUUUGAAAUUGGCGGUUUUGAAUUUUUAAGAAAUUAAAAAAUAUCCCCCGUCGAUUUCAAGAGGGAGAUGGAGAUACCAAAGCAACUCUCGCCACUUGUCGUCUUUUAAUUUUAAUUGAGUACGUUAUGCCGUUUUAAAUGUUCAAAACAGCACACAGUUGAUAGCUGAAUUGAUUUUUUCUUUUGCCGUUUUGUUAUAUUUAAACAACACACAGUGCAUUUGCCAAAUAACUACAUGAUGGGCCAAUAAACGUGGACCGACUAAAACUAAAUAAUAGAAGAUACAUCGAUAGGCUUCUCUAAAGAUCGGAUAAAAGAUAAUGUCGCAUAGCCACGUAGAGAGCAACUGGCUGAGACGUGGCAGGACGAAACGGACGCAUCGUACGUGUCAGAAUCCUACAGAAGUAAAGAGACAGAAGCCAGAGAGAGGUGGUUCGGCCAUAUGUCAUCGUUCUCUCUAUAAACUUUAUGGAACUUUGUUCUGAUUUUCUCAGAGACACGAAAAGAAAGAAAACAACACUAGAACAAAGAGGGUUUGAUUGAUUCACUUGAAAAAGAGAAAACACAGCUUUGGAAAAUGGAGUCACAGUUGACACGUCCUUAUGGUCAUGAGCAAGCAGAAGAACCAAUCAGAAUUCACCAUCCAGGUAUAUAUAUAUCUAUGACAGAAGAUUCUAAUUUGAGAACUUUUCUCUUAAUUUGCCUUAUUUAUUGUGAUUCGGAUACAGAAGAAGAAGAGCAUCAUGAGAAGGGAGCAUCCAAAGUGUUGAAGAAAGUAAAAGAAAAGGCUAAGAAAAUCAAGAACAGUCUCACUAAACAUGGAAAUGGUCAUGAUCACGAUGUGGAAGAUGAUGAUGAUGAGUAUGACGAGCAAGACCCAGAAGUUCACGGCGCACCAGGUUAAUUUCUCUGUAUUAAAGUCCUCGUCAAUCAGCAGUUAUAUUUUUUUGUGUAUUAACGGUUUUUCUGUUUUUUUAUGUGUAUGCACAGUGUAUGAAUCCUCUGCCGUGAGAGGUGGUGUAACGGGUAAACCUAAGUCUCUUAGUCAUGCCGGAGAAACUAAUGUUCCGGCAUCGGAGGAGAUUGUUCCUCCAGGGACAAAAGUUUUUCCUGUCGUGUCUUCUGACCACACCAAACCCAUUGAGCCUGUAUCAUUACAAGAUACCUCUUACGGACAUGAGGCACUGGCUGAUCCUGUAAGAACGACGGAAACAUCGGACUGGGAAGCGAAAAGAGAGGCACCGACUCAUUAUCCUCUCGGAGUGUCAGAAUUUUCAGACAGAGGAGAGAGCAGAGAGGCUCAUCAAGAGCCAUUGAACACUCCUGUGUCUCUGCUUUCAGCAACAGAGGACGUGACUAGGACGUUUGCUCCUGGUGGUGAAGAUGACUAUCUCGGUGGUCAACGGAAAGUCAACGUCGAGACGCCAAAACGUUUGGAGGAAGAUCCGGCUGCUCCAGGAGGAGGAUCGGAUUAUCUCAGUGGUGUAUCUAAUUAUCAGUCCAAAGUUACUGAUCCCACGCAUAAAGGUAAUGACUUUGGCCGAGACUUUUUUUAGGGUUUAUGAAUCUGUAAUAACUCUUGUCUGUUCUGUUUAAGGUGGAGAAGCUGGAGUACCAGAGAUUGCUGAGUCUCUUGGUAGAAUGAAAGUGACUGAUGAGUCUCCUGAUCAGAAAUCAAGACAAGGACGCGAAGAAGACUUUCCGACGAGAAGCCAUGAGUUUGAUCUGAAGAAGGAAUCUGAUAUCAACAAGAAUUCUCCGGCAAGAUUUGGAGGGGAAUCAAAAGCUGGGAUGGAGGAAGAUUUUCCGACAAGAGGUGAUGUGAAAGUAGAGAGUGGAUUGGGAAGAGACUUACCGACGGGAACUCAUGAUCAGUUCUCACCAGAACUAUCUCGUCCCAAAGAGAGAGAUGAUUCUGAGGAAACCAAAGAUGAGUCGACACAUGAGACAAAACCAAGCACCUACACAGAGCAGUUAGCUUCAGCUACAUCAGCCAUAACUAACAAAGCUAUAGCCGCAAAGAACGUCGUUGCCUCAAAGCUAGGUUACACCGGAGAGAAUGGCGGCGGGCAAAGCGAGAGCCCUGUAAAAGAUGAAACUCCGAGAUCUGUUACUGCUUACGGGCAGAAAGUGGCGGGAACUGUUGCUGAGAAGUUGACUCCGGUUUACGAAAAAGUCAAAGAAACAGGAUCAACGGUGAUGACAAAGCUACCUCUCUCCGGAGGUGGAAGUGGAGUGAAGGAGACGCAACAAGGGGAAGAGAAAGGUGUGACGGCUAAAAAUUAUAUAUCAGAGAAGCUGAAACCUGGAGAAGAGGACAAAGCUUUAUCGGAAAUGAUAGCUGAGAAACUUCAUUUUGGAGGAGGAGGAGAGAAGAAGACAACGGCUACAAAGGAGGUGGAAGUGACGGUUGAGAAGAUACCUUCCGACCAGAUAGCGGAGGGGAAAGGACAUGGUGAGGCGGUUGCAGAGGAAGGAAAAGGUGGAGAAGGAAUGGUGGGGAAAGUUAAAGGAGCGGUCACUUCUUGGCUCGGUGGUAAACCGAAGUCGCCACGGUCCGUUGAAGAGUCUCCACAAUCACUUGGCACCACCGUUGGUAAAACUCCCUCGUCCUUGUGUUACACGUAAUGUUAAGAUUUUGAUGUGUGUAUUAUUUUUGUAAUUUUACUCAAAAUGUUUUGGUUGCUAUGGUAGGGACUAUGGGGUUUUCGGAUUCCGGUGGAAGUGAGUUGGGAGGCAGUGGCGGAGGUAAGGGAGUUCAAGAUUCUGGGAACUGAAGAUUUGGGGUUUUGCUUUUGAAUGUUUGUGUUUUUGUAUGAUGCCUCUGUUUGUGAACUUUGAUGUAUUUUAUCUUUGUGUGAAAAAGAGAUUGGGUUAAUAAAAUAUUUGCUUUUUUGGAUAAGAAACUCUUUUAGCGGCCCAUUAAUAAAGGUUACAAAUGCAAAAUCAUGUUAGCGUCAGAUAUUUAAUUAUUCGAAGAUGAUUGUGAUAGAUUUAAAAUUAUCCUAGUCAAAAAGAAAGAGUAGGUUGAGCAGAAACAGUGACAUCUGUUGUUUGUACCAUACAAAUUAGUUUAGAUUAUUGGUUAACAUGUUAAAUGGCUAUGCAUGUGACAUUUAGACCUUAUCGGAAUUAAUUUGUAGAAUUAUUAAUUAAGAUGUUGAUUAGUUCAAACAAAAAUUUUAUAUUAAAAAAUGUAAACGAAUAUUUUGUAUGUUCAGUGAAAGUAAAACAAAUUAAAUUAACAAGAAACUUAUAGAAGAAAAUUUUUACUAUUUAAGAGAAAGAAAAAAAUCUAUCAUUUAAUCUGAGUCCUAAAAACUGUUAUACUUAACAGUUAACGCAUGAUUUGAUGGAGGAGCCAUAGAUGCAAUUCAAUCAAACUGAAAUUUCUGCAAGAAUCUCAAACACGGAGAUCUCAAAGUUUGAAAGAAAAUUUAUUUCUUCGACUCAAAACAAACUUACGAAAUUUAGGUAGAACUUAUAUACAUUAUAUUGUAAUUUUUUGUAACAAAAUGUUUUUAUUAUUAUUAUAGAAUUUUACUGGUUAAAUUAAAAAUGAAUAGAAAAGGUGAAUUAAGAGGAGAGAGGAGGUAAACAUUUUCUUCUAUUUUUUCAUAUUUUCAGGAUAAAUUAUUGUAAAAGUUUACAAGAUUUCCAUUUGACUAGUGUAAAUGAGGAAUAUUCUCUAGUAAGAUCAUUAUUUCAUCUACUUCUUUUAUCUUCUACCAGUAGAGGAAUAAACAAUAUUUAGCUCCUUUGUAAAUACAAAUUAAUUUUCGUUCUUGACAUCAUUCAAUUUUAAUUUUACGUAUAAAAUAAAAGAUCAUACCUAUUAGAACGAUUAAGGAGAAAUACAAUUCGAAUGAGAAGGAUGUGCCGUUUGUUAUAAUAAACAGCCACACGACGUAAACGUAAAAUGACCACAUGAUGGGCCAAUAGACAUGGACCGACUACUAAUAAUAGUAAGUUACAUUUUAGGAUGGAAUAAAUAUCAUACCGACAUCAGUUUGAAAGAAAAGGGAAAAAAAGAAAAAAUAAAUAAAAGAUAUACUACCGACAUGAGUUCCAAAAAGCAAAAAAAAAGAUCAAGCCGACACAGACACGCGUAGAGAGCAAAAUGACUUUGACGUCACACCACGAAAACAGACGCUUCAUACGUGUCCCUUUAUCUCUCUCAGUCUCUCUAUAAACUUAGUGAGACCCUCCUCUGUUUUACUCACAAAUAUGCAAACUAGAAAACAAUCAUCAGGAAUAAAGGGUUUGAUUACUUCUAUUGGAAAGAAAAAAAUCUUUGGAAAAUGGAUCAAACAGAGGAACCACCACUCAACACACACCAGCAGCACCCAGGUAGAUUCUAAUUUCAGAAACUUAUAUUUUUUUUAAGUGACAAUCCUCUGAAUUUACUUAAACUUAUUGUGAUUUAUGGAUACAGAAGAAGUUGAACAUCAUGAGAAUGGUGCGACUAAGAUGUUUAGGAAAGUAAAGGCUAGAGCUAAGAAGUUCAAGAACAGUCUCACUAAACAUGGACAAAGCAAUGAGCAUGAGCAAGAUCAUGAUUUGGUUGAAGAAGAUGAUGAUGAUGACGAGCUAGAACCUGAAGUGAUCGAUGCACCAGGUUACUUUCUUUUGUAGUUUCAUUCAACUUAUGAUCUAAAAACUAUUGGUUAUUCAAUUUUGCGUGACAUUAACGGUUUGGUAUCUGUAUAUGCAGGCGUAACAGGUAAACCUAGAGAAACUAAUGUUCCAGCAUCGGAGGAAAUUAUUCCACCAGGGACAAAGGUGUUUCCUGUCGUGUCUUCCGAUUACACCAAACCCACUGAAUCUGUACCAGUACAAGAGGCCUCUUACGGACACGAUGCACCGGCUCAUUCUGUAAGGACGACGUUUACAUCGGACAAGGAAGAGAAAAGAGAUGUACCGAUUCAUCAUCCUCUGUCCGAAUUGUCAGACAGAGAAGAGAGUAGAGAGACUCAUCAUGAGUCAUUGAACACUCCGGUCUCUCUGCUUUCUGGAACAGAGGAUGUAACGAGUACGUUUGCUCCAAGUGGUGAUGAUGAAUAUCUUGAUGGUCAACGGAAGGUCAACGUCGAGACCCCGAUAACGUUGGAGGAAGAGUCGGCUGUUUCAGACUAUCUUAGUGGUGUAUCUAAUUAUCAGUCCAAAGUUACUGAUCCCACCAAAGAAGGUAAGAACUUUGACCUUUUAAGAUUGUGUUUUUCUUUAGUGAUUAUGAAUAUGUAAUAACUCUGUUACGUUGUGUUUGGUUUAGAAACUGGAGGAGUACCGGAGAUUGCUGAGUCUUUUGGUAAUAUGGAAGUGACUGAUGAGUCUCCUGAUCAGAAGCCAGGACAAUUUGAAAGAGACUUGUCGACGAGAAGCAAAGAAUUCAAAGAGUUUGAUCAGGACUUUGACUCUGUUCUCGGUAAGGAUUCGCCGGCGAAAUUUCCAGGUGAAUCAGGAGUUGUUUUCCCGGUGGGCUUUGGUGACGAGUCAGGAGCUGAGCUGGAAAAAGAUUUUCCGACGAGAAGUCAUGAUUUUGAUAUGAAGACUGAAACUGGAAUGGACACGAAUUCUCCAUCAAGAAGCCAUGAAUUUGAUCUGAAGACUGAAUCUGGAAACGACAAGAAUUCUCCGAUGGGCUUUGGUAGUGAAUCAGGAGCUGAGCUGGAAAAAGAAUUUGAUCAGAAGAACGAUUCUGGAAGAAACGAGUAUUCGCCGGAAUCUGACGGCGGUUUAGGAGCUCCGUUGGGAGGAAAUUUUCCGGUGAGAAGUCAUGAGUUGGAUCUGAAGAACGAAUCUGAUAUCGACAAGGAUGUGCCGACGGGAUUUGACGGAGAACCAGAUUUUCUGGCGAAGGGAAGACCUGGAUACGGUGAGGCAUCAGAAGAGGAUAAAUUUCCGGCGAGAAGUGAUGAUGUGGAAGUAGAGACUGAGCUGGGAAGAGACCCAAAGACGGAGACUCUUGAUCAAUUCUCACCGGAACUUUCUCAUCCUAAAGAAAGAGAUGAGUUUAAGGAGUCCAGAGAUGAUUUUGAGGAGACGAGAGAUGAGAAAACAGAGGAGCCAAAACAGAGCACUUACACAGAGAAGUUUGCUUCAAUGCUAGGUUACUCCGGAGAAAUUCCGGUGGGAGAUCAAACUCAAGUGGCGGGAACUGUUGAUGAGAAGUUGACUCCGGUCAAUGAGAAGGAUCAAGAAACAGAGUCUGCCGUGACGACGAAGUUACCUAUCUCCGGAGGUGGAAGUGGAGUAGAGGAGCAACGAGGGGAAGAUAAAAGUGUGUCGGGUAGAGAUUAUGUGGCGGAGAAACUGACAACUGAAGAAGAAGACAAAGCCUUUUCUGAUAUGGUUGCCGAGAAAC
rnacentral:lncRNA from 1 species